UACGAGAGGCCCAAACGUUAUUCGGAUUUACUGGGCUUAAAGAGUUCGUAGGCGGUUCGGUAAGUGAGGUGUGAAAGCCCUCGGCUCAACCGAGGAAUUGCGCUUCAAACUGCCGGGCUCGAGGGAGAUAGAGGUGAGCGGAACUGAUGGUGGAGCGGUGAAAUGCUUAGAUAUGACAUAGAACACCAAUUGCGAAGGCAGCUCACUAAGCAAAUAUUGACGCUGAGGCACGAAAGCGUGGGGAUCAAAACAGG
rnacentral:rRNA from 1 species